rnacentral:rRNA from 1 species
GAUGAACGCUGGCGGCGUGCCUAAUACAUGCAAGUCGAGCGAACAGACGAGGAGCUUGCUCCUCUGACGUGAGCGGCGGACGGGUGAGUAACACGUGGAGAACCUACCUAUAAGAGGGGGAUAACUUCGGGAAACCGGAGCUAAUACCGGAUAAUAUAUUGAACCACAUGGUUCAAUAGUGAAAGACGGUUUUGCUUUCACUUAUGGAUGGAUCGGGGCCGCAUUAGCUAGUUGGUAAGGUAACGGCUUACCAAGGCAACGAUGCGUAGCCGACCUGAGAGGGUGAUCGGCCACACUGGAACUGAGCCACGCUCCAGACUCCUCCGGGAGGCAGCAGUAGGGAAUCUUCCGCAAUGGGCGAAAGCCUGACGGAGCAACGCCGCGUGAGUGAUGAAGGUCUUCGGAUCGUAAAACUCUGUUAUUAGGGAAGACCAAAUGUGUAAGUAACUAUGCACGUCUUGACGGUACCUAAUCAGAAAGCCACGGCUAACUACGUG